UACGUAGGGACCGAGCGUUGUCCGGAAUCAUUGGGCGUAAAGAGCGUGUAGGCGGCCUUUUAAGUCCUGCGUGAAAUCCUGCGGCUCAACCGCAGACGGUCGUGGGAAACUGGAAGGCUAGAGUGCGGGAGAGGAGAGUGGAAUUCCCGGUGUAGCGGUGAAAUGCGCAGAUAUCGGGAAGAACACCCGUGGCGAAGGCG
rnacentral:rRNA from 1 species